rnacentral:rRNA from 1 species
UUACGGAAGGCAGCAGUGAGGAAUAUUGGUCAAUGGGCGAGAGCCUGAACCAGCCAUGCCGCGUGCAGGAUGACUGCCCUAUGGGUUGUAAACUGCUUUUAUUGGGGAAUAAACCUUUCUACGUGUAGGAAGCUGAAGGUACUCAAUGAAUAAGCACCGGCUAACUCCGUGCCAGCAGCCGCGGUAAUACGGAGGGUGCAAGCGUUAUCCGGAAUCAUUGGGUUUAAAGGGUCCGCAGGCGGAUUUAUAAGUCAGUGGUGAAAGCCUAUUGCUCAACAAUAGAACUGCCAUUGAUACUGUAAGUCUUGAAUUCGGUCGAAGUGGGCGGAAUAUGACAUGUAGCGGUGAAAUGCUUAGAUAUGUCAUAGAACACCGAUAGCGAAGGCAGCUCACUAGGCCUGGAUUGACGCUCAGGGACGAAAGCGUGGGGAGCAAACAGGAUUAGAUACCCCAGUA